AACCUGGUUGAUCUUGCCAGUAGUCAUAUGCUUGUCUCAAAGAUUAAGCCAUGCAAGUGAAAGUAUAUGCAUAUUUUAUAUGUAGAAACUGCGAACGGCUCAUUAAAACAGUUAUAGUCUACUUGACAUUUUUUUUAUAAGGAUAACUACGGAAAAGCUGUAGCUAAUACUUGCUUUAAUACUCUUAAUUCUUUAUGUUUUUUGAGUAUGUAUUUGUUAAGCCUUAUAAGAGAAAAGUUUAUUAACUUAAGGAAUUAUAACAAAGAAGUAACACAUAAUAAAUUUCGAUUUAUUUAGUGUGUAUCAAUCGAGUUUCUGACCUAUCAGCUUUUGAUGUUAGGGUAUUGGCCUAACAUGGCUAUGACGGGUAACGGGGAAUUAGAGUUCGAUUCCGGAGAGGGAGCCUGAGAAAUAGCUACCACAUCUAAGGAAGGCAGCAGGCGCGUAAAUUACCCAAUUCUAAAGAAGAGAGGUAGUGACAAGAAAUAACAAUGCAAGGCCAAAUUUUGGUUUUGCAAUUGGAAUGAUGGGAAUUUAAAACCUUCCCAGAAGGCAAUUGGAGGGCAAGUCUGGUGCCAGCAGCCGCGGUAAUUCCAGCUCCAAUAGCGUAUAUUAAAAUUGUUGC
rnacentral:ncRNA from 1 species